rnacentral:rRNA from 1 species
UACCGAGGGGGCAAGCGUUGUUCGGAAUUACUGGGCGUAAAGGGCUCGUAGGCGGCCAACUAAGUCAGACGUGAAAUCCCUCAGCUUAACUGGGGAACUGCGUCUGAUACUGGAUGGCUUGGAUUCGGGAGAGGAAUGCGGAAUUCCAGGUGUAGCGGUGAAAUGCGUAGAUAUCUGGAGGAACACCGGUGGCGAAGGCGGCAUUCUGGACCGACAUUGACGCUGAGGAGCGAAAGCCAGGGGAGCAAACGGG